rnacentral:rRNA from 1 species
UCGCCGCCCGUGACUCGGCGAGAAGUCCAUUGAACCUUAUCAUUUAGAGGAAGGAGAANUCGUAACAAGGUUUCCGUAGGUGAACCUGCGGAAGGAUCAUUG